rnacentral:rRNA from 1 species
UACGAAGGGGGCUAGCGUUGCUCGGAAUCACUGGGCGUAAAGGGUGCGUAGGCGGGUCUUUAAGUCAGGGGUGAAAUCCUGGAGCUCAACUCCAGAACUGCCUUUGAUACUGAAGAUCUUGAGUUCGGGAGAGGUGAGUGGAACUCCGAGUGUAGAGGUGAAAUUCGUAGAUAUUCGGAAGAACACCAGUGGCGAAGGCGGCUCACUGGCCCGGUACGUGACGCUGAGGUGCGAAAGCGUGGGGAGCAAACAGG